rnacentral:misc_RNA from 1 species
AAAAAAAAAAAAAAAAAAUUGUUGCCUCACUUGGUAUAUUCCUGCCUGAUUGGCUGUUACUGUUGUGAUGCCAUUGUACAUUUGCAAGAGGAUACAUGAGAUUUUUCUUGAAUCUACUUUCAGCGCUCACAAUCGAUAUAUCCUAGUCAUGUUUGUGUAGAGAGAAUGUUCAGGUGUUGACCCUAAAUUUCAUGAGGCUUUGCUGAUGUUGAUAUCUGGUAUCUUUUUACUAGAUAAUCAUCUGUGGGUGUGUGUUUAUUGUAGCAAGUUUUUCUGUGAUCAGAUUUUAUUCGGAAGGAUAAACACCCCGCAAGUCAUUU